UUUAAAUGUAAAAUAAAUAUACUAAAGUAGUAUUAGUUAUGUUCUUGAAAUUUAAAGAUUUUGGCGGUAUUUUAGUCUAUUUAGAGGAGCCUGUUCUGUGAUUGAUAAUCCACGAUUAAUUUUACUUAAUUUAUAUAAAUUUGUAUACCGUCGUUAUAAGAAGAUUUUAAAAGAAUAUAAAUUUUUAAUAUUUUAUAUAAAAAAAUAUAUCAGAUCAAGGUGCAGUUUAUAGUUAAGAAGAAAUGGGCUACAAUAAAUUUAUUUAUAUGGAUUAAAGUAAGAAUUUGACUUUAUGAAAGUGGAUUUAAUAGUAAUAAAAUUAAUUUAAAUUUUAUGAUUUUAGCUCUAAAAUAUG
rnacentral:rRNA from 3 species